AUUGAACGCUGGCGGCAUGCUUUACACAUGCAAGUCGAACGGCAUCGCGGACUUCGGUCUGGCGGCGAGUGGCGAACGGGUGAGUAAUACAUCGGAACGUGCCUAUUAGUGGGGGAUAACUAAGCGAAAGUUUAGCUAAUACCGCAUACGCCCUGAGGGGGAAAGCGGGGGAUCUUCGGACCUCGUGCUAAUAGAGCGGCUGAUGGCUGAUUAGCUAGUUGGUGAGGUAAAGGCUCACCAAGGCGACGAUCAGUAGCGGGUCUUAGAGGACGAUCCGCCACACUGGAACUGAGACACGGUCCAGACACCUACGGGAGGCAG
rnacentral:rRNA from 1 species